UACGGGGGGGGCAAGCGUUGUUCGGAAUUACUGGGCGUAAAGGGCUCGUAGGUUGCCAACUAAGUCAGACGUGAAAUCCCCGGGCUCAACCUGGGAACUGCAUCCGAGACUGCAUUGCUAGAGUAUGGGAGAGGGAAGCGGAAUUUCUGGUGUAGCAGUGAAAUGCGUAGAUAUCAGAAGGAACAUCAGUGGCGAAGGCGGCUUCCUGGACCAAUACUGACGAUCAUGUGCGAAAGCGUGGGGAGCAAACAGG
rnacentral:rRNA from 1 species